UUUGCAGAUAUGUCUGUAUCCAAACAUAUAUCUCUAUAAUCUCCAAACGUAUAGAA
rnacentral:antisense_RNA from 1 species